rnacentral:rRNA from 1 species
GAUUGAACGCUGGCGGCAGGCCUAACACAUGCAAGUCGAACGGUAACAGGAAGCAGCUUGCUGCUUCGCUGACGAGUGGCGGACGGGUGAGUAAUGUCUGGGAAGCUGCCUGAUGGAGGGGGAUAACUACUGGAAACGGUAGCUAAUACCGCAUAAUGUCGCAAGACCAAAGAGGGGGACCUUCGGGCCUCUUGCCAUCGGAUGUGCCCAGAUGGGAUUGGCUUGUUGGUGGGGUAACGGCUCACCAAGGCGACGAUCCCUAGCUGGUCUGAGAGGAUGACCAGCCACACUGGAACUGAGACACGGUCCAGGCUCCUGCGGGAGGCAGCAGCGGGGAAUAUUGCACAGUGGGCGCAAGCCUGAUGCAGCCAUGCCGCGUGUAUGAAGAAGGCCUUCGGGUUGUAAAGUACUUUCAGCGGGGAGGAAGGGAGUAAAGUUAAUACCUUUGCUCAUUGACGUUACCCGCAGAAGAAGCACCGGCUAACUCCGUG